ACUGAGUGUGGCACCUGUGCCAAGUCCUGUUUUAGUGCAGCCAUGGGCUUGUGUGUUCCUACAACACUCAGUAUUUUGGAGCUGGGACAAUCCUGCAUGUAAUGGAAAAAGGUAAAAAUGUGACAAACCCAAAGGUGUCUAUCUUUCCCCCAAGCAACUCAGACGUACAAAGCAAAAAACAUGCGCUAUUGGUGUGCAUUGCCUUUGACUUUUACCCUGAGCAUGUGCAAAUUACCUGGAAGGUUAAUGGUGUGGAGAGGAAAGGAGUAACUCAGGGCACCAUGUGGAACAAAAAUGACACCUACUCAACCAACAGUCUGCUCAGGGUGACACUUGAUGAAUACUUCAAUCCUGGUAACACAUUCCAGUGUCUGGCUGGGUUUAUUGGAGGAGAAAGCGUAACCAAGGAACAGAUAAAUGGGAUGAUGGGUUGUGGAAUUACUCGAGACAGUUACACGAGAUACGUUAACAACGGGAAGCUUUCGUAUCUGCUAAUUCUGUUCAAGAGCGCACUGUACGGAUUUAUAGUGACCGCUGUAGUGUUACGCAAAAAGGCUAUCAGAAAUUCCAGCUGAAAAUCCCUAACUGGACGUCUAGCAGAAACCUUUGCAGCUUCAAGCAAAAAUCUGAACUUCAAUUACAAAUUUUCUAGCACCUGUGUGCUAAGCUGGUUUUGAGCUUUUAAAUGCAGUUCACAUUUAAAUACUUUUAGAAGUAAAGUUUGUGUGAAUAAACUAUACAAACUAUACAUUGUUUUUUCAGCAGACCGAGCAAAUUCAAAAUAUACCAUUAUUAUGUAUCAUAAGGUUUAAAAAAUUGUGCGUAAAAUGUGAAAAAGUGUAUUUUUUUACUCCUGAACCAAGAAAUAAUAGUAUGUUGUUUAAUUUUCUAAGCUCUAUCAUCAAAACCUGUGUUUAUUAAUAUUUGUGGUAUGUAAAUUGUCUGAAAUAAGCAGAAAUUAAGAACAUUUCACUGUUUUUUUCCACUGUUUUAUUGCAAGCAUGUCAAUUUGAUAAAUUAUCAAAAAACAGCAUCUUUACUAUACUUUUUUCAGCCAUAUUACACUUAUUGUUACAUUGUCUAUUUUUGUGCUAGCAAUAUAUGUAGCCCCUCAUUUAAUGUGUCAAGGGGUGUACUUUCCAGAAAAUGUGUACUUUAUUUAAUGUAUCUUAGUUAUCCAGGUUUUUACAGCUGUCUGAUUGCAGACGUAACCCAUAAAAAGUUGAAAUACUAUUUUUGUAGACUAUUUCAAGAUUGCCAUGUCUGCAAUUAAACAGUUCUAGCUACUUAAAAUAUGGUACACAAAGCACACAUUUGUAGAAAGUACACUCUUUGGCGCAUCAAAUGAGGGGCUAAUAUGUAUCUCUAGCACAUAAUUGAGGUGUGCAACAAUUAAUGGAAUAUGGUGCUUUGCAUAAAAAAUAUUUUAUUUUUAGCAAAGAGCCAUAUUCCGCGUAUUAUUACAUUGUAUUUUCUUGUGCUAGCAAUAAUUGUAGCCCCCCAUUUGAUGCACCAAAGGGUGUACUUUCCAAAAAUGUGUACUUUAUUUAAUGUAUCUUAAUUUCUCAGGUGGCUACAGCUGACUGAUUGCAGACAUAACCCCGUAAAGUUGAAAGACUAUUUUUCUUUUUAUUUUAUUUUUAAUUCUCUUUACAAAAUAAAUAGAUAUUUUUAAAGGAAUUAUGUCGCUAAAAAUAUGUAAUUUUUAUUGCAAAAAAUAAUCUCCUUUGCAAAAAAAUACAGAAGUUUUGAAAGAUGGAGAGAGCUGCGUAAAUAGGGGGGGUUUACUCAUCUUCCACGCAUGCUAAAAGGCUGAUUAUAAAAAUAUUAUUAUUUUUUUUUUAAUAGCAUUUCUAUACCAUUUAUUAAUUUAUAACCACAUUAUCCAAGUGAUCAUGGGAUUACAAAUAUAAUAUUGGUCCGUAUUGUAAAAGGGAAUGCAACAUUUCUUAGCUAGGUGAUCACUGCGGUAAAGCGAGUUACCACAGUGAUCAUUUAGCUAUAAUACUGAAACCGAUAUAUAUAUUUAAAAAAUAAACAACUUUAUUUUUAGAAUAUGUAUUUUGGGGGUCUCUAGGCAAUUUUGAUCUUUAUUUAUGUGCCUUUAGAGACCCCCCAAUUUUUUUUUUUUUAAAUGUUUUUUUUUUACUAUACACAUUAAAGACUUAUACCAUUGAAAAGGUUAGACAAUUACCUUUCCAAUGGCGGUUGUUGGGGAUACAGGCAUCUAAGCAGCAUGCCGCCAUCUCCCUAUUACUGACAAUUGUCAGUUUUAAAUAAAGUUGCCACGUUGAUGUCACUGCGUCACUGCGAAUGACGUCACUGUGCAAAACGUGAAGCCCCGGCGAUGAUUGUCACUUUACAAAUCGCCGGGAUGGGAGUAGAUGGGGGUCCCCAGAAUUCCACGAAGAGCAGGGGGUGCUAGUGACAGCUCUGAGCCAUUGUUAGCACCUGAGAGGGAAACUUUGCGACGGCUCAGAGCCUUCGUUAGCAUUCAAGAGGUUAACAAGUCAAAGUGGGUUACAAAUGGUAAAUUGUCCUAUUUAAGUUGGUUCUCACGGAUGUUAAUAUAAUUGCACUGGAAUCAUUGAAGUAUCAAAAUACAGUAAUUUGCUAAUCAGCAGCGAUAAUGUAAAUGCUCCAACACAUGGGAAAAGAUAUUUCUUUAACAUACUGCAAAUAAUGGAUACUUUUCUUCUACAGAUUUAUUGUAUUGUGAUUUGGUUUUUCCAUUUUGAGCACUCCAGAUAGGAAUAUUUCAUUGUGUUUUUUUUAUUCAGGUUAUUGGUAGGAAUGAGAUCAUUUUGUUAUUGGUUGCAUUCACUGAAAAUAAAAGCUGAAUUAUUGUUGACCAUAUACCAUUUCCUACAAUCGGAUAUUCCUAAACUUAAACAUAAGCCUACAGGGAACACACAUUCUCUAAUGUCAUCUUCAGAUGUAACUUUUAAUAUUCCUAUGUUAAUAUUUGUACUACAAACAAAUUCUAAUGACAAAACAAUGUCUAAAAUUAAAAUGAUUUACCACCAGAUUGCCAGCUAAAUAGGUAUUGGCUAAUCAAUAAAUAUUGGUGACAACAAUAAUAUGCUGUUAUGUGUUUGUUUUUAUAGCUAUGCUUAACAAUGCUACGGUGAUUGCCUAUUGCAUAUUCAUGUUUAUGUUUUCAUUUGCGGUUAAUAUUUCUGUGUGCAUUUGCUUGUAUAUAUGUGUAGUGAUUAACUGACAGUUAAUAAAGAUAAUAACUAAUGGCA